GCCAAGACGCACAAAAAGCUUUUAUUUUACAUACAUGCGCUCUUCUUUGCGCACAUCUUUCACCGGAAUGAGAAUGCAAGGUAGAGAGUCACGAUCCGUGAGGGUCAACGGCGACAUUGGCGUCAAACAAGAAUGGCUGUCUGUUCUCCCCCCAUGCCUCUCCGUCAAGUAUCACUUUAAAGCUAAACCAAGGAACUUGACUGAGGCUCAGAGUAACUGCACACAGAACUACACUGGCCUGGCAACUGUAGAGAACAUGAGGGAAAUUGACAUGUUUAAUAUCGUUACUGCACACUGGAAGGAAAAAACCUUGUUAGAGCCAGAAAACAGCACUUGGAGGUGGUCACUUGACGGAACAGAGUUAAAUGGGGAGACGUUUUGGGACAGUAAACAACCAGAUAAUCAAGAGCAUAAGGAGUUUUGCGUGUUUAUUAAAGAAGGGAAGUGGCAUGAUGUAAACUGUGAGACAACACUUAAUUUUGUCUGCUAUGACGAACACAAUCACACCAGUAAGUACAUCUACAUCGACUAUCAAGGCAAUUGGACUUUCUCUCAGAACUACUGUAGAAAAAACCACACAGACCUGGCCAGUGUGAGGAACUCUACAGAGUGGGAGCAAGUGAAGAACACAUUUCACUCACAUAGUGACAAAGUGUGGAUUGGACUGCAUAAAGAUCCUUGUGUCUGGGGUUGGUACAACAACAGUGGCUCCUGCAGCAACUGCACACCAAACAACGUGAAUUGUCUUAAACGUCCUUUUAUCUGCUAUGAUGAUGAGCUGGUCCUGGUCAAAGAGAACAAGACGUGGUCAGAAGCCUUGUGGUCCUGUAGAGACAAGGGGAUGGAGCUGGUGUCUGUCCUCAACCAGAACAUCCAGAACAGGGUCCAACAGAGAGCAAACAAUGCCUCCAGUCCCUUCGUCUGGCUGGGCCUGAGGUAUAGCUGCACAUUGAACUUCUGGAUCUGGGUCAUUGGAAAUUAUUCCUGCUACCAGAACUGGGCUGAAUGGCAGAGCCACAACACCGAGCAAUGUGGGAUCACAGGUGCCAUAAAGACAGGUGGGGGACAAUGGUUCAGCCUGCCUGAGACUGACAGACACAACUUCGUCUGCAGCAAGAGUCAUGGAUACUAGGAACAGACCCAGCUCUCUGGACCAACUAAAUUCUCCAGCUAUAAUCCUUGUUCCUGACCUGGCUCUCUGGACAUACUAAAUCCUCCAACCAUAAUCCCUGUUCCUGACCUGGCUCUCUUGACCUGCUAAAUCUUGUACCCCAACAUAUUGAUUCCAGACAUUGCUCUGAUUUACAUUAUUCAAGAUCUUUUGACUUGCUUUCCUGGAGGGAGUUGAUUUACCUGACCAACCCUAAUCCUAACCCCGCU